rnacentral:rRNA from 1 species
UACGAAGGGGGCUAGCGUUGCUCGGAAUUACUGGGCGUAAAGGGAGCGUAGGCGGAUAGUUUAGUCAGAGGUGAAAGCCCAGGGCUCAACCUUGGAAUUGCCUUUGAUACUGGCUAUCUUGAGUACGGAAGAGGUAUGUGGAACUCCGAGUGUAGAGGUGAAAUUCGUAGAUAUCGGAAGAACACCAGUGGCGAAGGCGACAUACUGGUCCGUUACUGACGCUGAGGCUCGAAAGCGUGGGGAGCAAACAGG